UCUUCCGUAGUAUAGUGGUCAGUAUGUGAGCUUGUCAUGAUCGACUCCGCUCGAGACCCGGGUUCAAUUCCCGGCGGGAGAG
rnacentral:tRNA from 1 species